AUGAACGCUGGCGGCGUGCCUAAUACAUGCAAGUCGAACGAGUUCUGAUUAUUGAAGGGUGCUUGCAUCUUGAUUUAAUUUUGAACGAGUGGCGGACGGGUGAGUAACACGUGGGUAACCUGCCCUUAAGUGGGGGAUAACAUUUGGAAACAGAUGCUAAUACCGCAUAAAUCCAAGAACCGCAUGGUUCUUGGCUGAAAGAUGGCGUAAGCUAUCGCUUUUGGAUGGACCCGCGGCGUAUUAGCUAGUUGGUGAGGUAACGGCUCACCAAGGCAAUGAUACGUAGCCGAACUGAGAGGUUGAUCGGCCACAUUGGGACUGAGACACGGCCCAAACUCCUACGGGAGGCAGCAGUAGGGAAUCUUCCACAAUGGACGCAAGUCUGAUGGAGCAACGCCGCGUGAGUGAAGAAGGCUUUCGGGUCGUAAAACUCUGUUGUUGGAGAAGAAUGGUCGGCAGAGUAACUGUUGUCGGCGUGACGGUAUCCAACCAGAAAGCCACGGCUAACUACGUGCCAGCAGCC
rnacentral:rRNA from 2 species